CAGCCAUGAAUAUCAUUAAGACAGAUUUGAGAAAUAAGAUAUCUGAUGAUUGGUUGAAUGAUCUGAUGAUAUGCUAUGUAGAGCGAGAUAUAUUUGCUGGAGUUGAUGACAAGAAGAUCAUAGAACAUUUUCACAGCUUGAGAGACCGUAGAGGCCAUCUACCAAACCCUCCCCGUAUACUUACGACUUAGGGUAUCUAUUAAUCAUGGAGUUGGACAUUUUGGGCCAUGGAAUGCAUUAUUCAAGCAGCGGGAGUCCAAGUUAGUAGUUAUGCGUGACGUUUAUGUUAUAUUUUGUGAUUUUAGGUGGUUACAACCUAGUUCUUGAAAAUCUUGAACUGUCCUGAAUCAUUGGUCAUGUAAAUUUUCGAAUGCAUCUAGCUUCAUAUUUGAAUUUUAUGAGAUUUGGUUCAGCGGACUUGCAUUCGUCAAUCAAAUUUUUUAUUCCUUCAA